rnacentral:tRNA from 1 species
GGAGAGAUAAGUUAAGUUGAAUAAACUGUGUGAUUCAUGCUCAUAAAAUACGUUUUUCGUUUUCUCCU